UCUUUGGAGCUGUGUGAACUGAAUGUCAGGCUAGGUCUGGGGAGCUGUGUGAACUGAAUGUCAGGCUAGGUCCGGGAGCUGUGUGAACUGAAUGUUGUCAGGCUAGGUCUGUGGAGCUGUGUGAACUGAAUGUCAGGCCUGUCUGUGNNNNNNNNNNNNNNNNNNNNNNNNNCGUUACAGAAAACACACACUCAACCGCCCCGAGGUACACACGUUACAGAAACACACUCAACCCCCCGAGGUUACACACGUACAGAAACACACUCAACCACCCGAGGGACACCUCAGAAACACACUCAACCCCCCGAGGUACACACAGGUACAGAAAACACACUCAAAACCGCCCCGAGGUCACACAGUACAGAAACAACACUCAACCGCCCCGAGUUACACAGUACAGAACACACUCAACCGCCCGAGGCGUCCACGGGUACAGAAACCACUCAACCGCCCCGAGGUACACAGGUACAGAAACGCACUCAACCGCCCCGAGGUAUAAGUACAGAAACGCACUCAACCGCCCCGAGGUACAAGUACAGAAACACACUCAACCGCCCCGAGGUACACGUACAGAAACGCACUCAACCGCCCCGAGGUAUAAGCACAGUACACACUUAACCACCCCGAGGUACACGUACAGAAACGCACUCAACCGCCCCGAGGUUUAAGCACAUACAACAACUACCCCGAGGUACACACACACACACAAACCACCCCACAACACACACACAACACACACAACACACACACACACACACAGUCUCAAACCAGC
rnacentral:lncRNA from 1 species